UUUCGCUGGUUUUAGGAGAAGAAAAAAUCUCUACCGACAGAGUGAUACCAAAUUCUGGAUCUAGAUUGUCACACCAAGGUGACUUUACGCGCCGCGAUAGCGUUUGACAAAAAGGGUCGCGGAAUGACAACCGUGCGCGCGAGCCCGUCAAAUUGACCUUCAACCAGCAACCGACCGCUGCACCGUACGAUUCGCGACUCAGCGAUUGCAGGCCGCGUGCGAAAGUGGCGGUGGUGGCGACAAAUCUCAACGCCAUCUAACCGGAGAGCUCAGCCGAUUAUCGCUGGAGCAACGUUUGAAAGGGGCGCAACGGCGAUUGAUUUUGGUUAUGUUUGAGGGACCUAACGAUUCGCUUCCAUAAUUUAACUUUUUUUUUAAAUAAAAAUAGCUUGAACU